rnacentral:rRNA from 1 species
UNUGCUGUGAAAGGCCGGGGCUUAANUCCGGUUUUGCAGUGGGUACGGGCUAACUAGAGUGCAGUAGGGGAGACUGGAAUUCCUGGUGUAGCGGUGGAAUGCACAGAUAUCAGGAGGAACACCGAUGGCGAAGGCAGGUCUCUGGGCUGUAACUGACGCUGAGAAGCGAAAGCAUGGGGAGCGAACAGGAUUAGAUACCCUGGUAGUCCAUGCCGUAAACGUUGGGCACUAGGUGUGGGGGACAUUCCACGUUUUCCGCGCCGUAGCUAACGCAUUAAGUGCCCCGCCUGGGGAGUACGGCCGCAAGGCUAAAACUCAAAGGAAUUGACGGGGGCCCGCACAAGCGGCGGAGCAUGCGGAUUAAUUCGAUGCAACGCGAAGAACCUUACCAAGGCUUGACAUGCAUUAGAUCGCGUCAGAGAUGGCGUUUCCCUUCGGGGCUGGUGUACAGGUGGUGCAUGGUUGUCGUCAGCUCGUGUCGUGAGAUGUUGGGUUAAGUCCCGCAACGAGCGCAACCCUCGUUCUAUGUUGCCAGCGGUUCGGCCGGGGACUCAUAGGAGACUGCCGGGGUCAACUCGGAGGAAGGUGGGGAUGACGUCAAAUCAUCAUGCCCCUUAUGUCUUGGGCUUCACGCAUGCUACAAUGGCCGGUACAGAGGGUUGCGAUACUGUGAGGUGGAGCUAAUCCCUUAAAGCCGGUCUCAGUUCGGAUUGGGGUCUGCAACUCGACCCCAUGAAGUCGGAGUCGCUAGUAAUCGCAGAUCCGCAACGCUGCGGUGAAUACGUUCCCGGGCCUUGUACACACCGCCC